rnacentral:rRNA from 1 species
AUUGAACGCUGGCGGCAUGCCUAACACAUGCAAGUCGCACGAGUGUCGCACGGGUGAGUAAUGUCUGUGGAACUGCCCGAUGUAGGGGGAUAACUACUGGAAACGGUAGCUAAUACCGCAUACCAUCGGAUGUGCCCCGAUGGGAUUAGCUUGUCGGUGAGGUAACGGCGCACCUCGACGACGAUCCCUAGCUGGUCUGAGAGGAUGAGCAGCCACACUGGAACUGAGACACGGUCCAGACUCCGACGGGAGGCAGCAGUGGGGAAUAUUGCACAAUGGGCGAAAGCCUGAUGCAGCCAGGCCGCGUGUAUGAAGAAGGUCUUCGGGUUGUAAAGUACUUUCAGCGGGGAGGCGUUACCCGCAGAAGAAGCACCGGCUAACUCCGUGCCAGCAGCCGCGGUAAUAC